rnacentral:ncRNA from 1 species
AGGGGUUUGGCAGGCGCCCCUUUAGACGUGGGUCGUCCAAGCUCUGC